GCUGCAAAAAGCGCGCAAGGAAGAAGAUUCUUUUUUUUUGAGAAAAUUAUAGAGAGAAGGCCAAACAAGGUAAGUUCAGAUACAAGCAAAUGUAUUUUAUUUCAUUUUAUUUAUUUAUUAUGAGUGGGGACUACAUUUGAGACUUUUGAGCUCGUAAAUAUUGGGGUGAAAAUCAAUACUCAGAAUGGUGUCGGGUUAUUUGGUAUGUAUAAUGUAUAACCUAUUACAUUUCAAAAGUAACCUUCCCAACAACGUGCAUAAUGUGUAUAAUAAUUUCUCUCAAACAGAAAGUCAUAGUGUGGCCAGUGUUCACACUCUGUGCAAACUUCCUUUUUUUUCUUCAAGUCACACUGAAAGAGGAAACACCCAACCAUUUCACACCGAUGUUCAGAUCUAAUACAUUUUGACAAAGAACACCUAAGCCUUACAAACUCUUCUGGGUCCCUCUCACAAUGAAGAUGCCGGGCCUGAUUGAUCUCACUCUCAUAUUGUUCCUGGCCUCUAGCUCAAAAGGUACAAACUGGAGUAUUGAUGUCCCCAGAAGCAUUACUGCAGGAUCGGGUUCAAACGUGACCAUAAGAUGUAACUUUACCUAUCCGAACAAAAGCGGCACUGAAUAUGUUCAAGUUUACUGGAAAAAGCCUGAGAGCAGUCCUAUGAAAACUGAUGACAACGAACUUAAUGCAUUUGUUUUUCACCCAAAUGACAUAUUUGUGCUUGAGAAGUACAGAGGACGGACCAAGCUCACUGGAAAUAUAUCCAACGGAGACUGCUCCCUCAAGAUCUUUAACUUCAUGGAUAAUGAACCAAUGAUCUAUGUGAGGGUUGUCAAAAACAGGGACAAAUACAGUUUCAGAAAUAAUUUUGUCUCCAUUUCUUUGUCUGGUCCAGGUGUUAAAACAGUCACUUUUAAUCCAGACAUGACACAACAAUCGAUCACCUUUGAAGCAAUAACAAUGGGUACGACCCAGAAGACUUCAAAACUAAUUUAUACGGCCAUCUUUGUAUCAGUUGCUGCACUUCUAAUCAUCAUCUUUGUUGCUGGAAUCGUCUUUUGUAUCAAAUGCAAAAGGUCAAAACCUUGUACCAGGGAGGAAUCUGGAUAUUAUGCAAACUUUAGCCGAGCAUCAUUAAACCAAGCCAAAAGAAAAGCAUCUUGCAACAAACAAGAGAACCAGGAACUUCCUGAGCUGAAGGCCACUGAUGACCCCGUCUACCUCAACAUUGAGGCCCCUCCAGAUCAGAUGGAUCAAAGUAUGGACUACACAGACAAUAUAUAUGCAAAUGUGGAUUAUUCAAAAGCUACAUCUCACAAAUCUAUUUAGAGUUGAACUUCAUGAUAAACGCUAUUUCUCCAUCCAUCCAUCGUCUACCGCUUAUCCAGGGUCGGGUCGCGGGGGCAGCAGCUCCAGUAAGGAACCCCAAACGCUAUUUCUGCAUUAUGAAUUGUUUUGUGCACUUGUUCAUGUCUAUGUUCUUAUCACGAGGAAGAGCGGAUUCACAGCGUUCACUCAGGGAUUUCUUUAUCAGAUAAAGAUUACCUGCCAUUAAAUUAAAAACACAGAACAGUUAUAAUCAGUCUGUAUUUACUCGCUGGUGGUUGCAGAAACUGUGAGGGGUCAGUCAAUUUGUAUCGUUUGUUAUUUGUCUUUGUCCAGGAGCCAAUGUUACACAGAUUUAAGCUAUUUGGAGUUACAUAUAGCACCAACUAUUUAUUUAUUUGUUUGGCCUUUAUAUAUCACACUGAAUAUGUGACCAUUGAUAAUGUACAUAAUGUUAUUGCUCAGAGCCAGGGCUUUAAAUUUGCCUGAACACAUUAUUACUAAUUUUACAAAUGUGCCAAGUGUAACAUGCAGUUGAUGCACAACUUUUAAUUGUAAUAUUUCCCUAACCCUUAACCAAGCAUUCCAAAUACCCUAACCAUGGCUUAUUUGCCUUAACCGUGAUCUUGCCCCAGCAUUACCGUGGGUGACAGAUAUUGUAGAAUUGAACAACAUUGGAAUUCAAAGUUAGUGCCGUUCUGCACCACUGAGUGAUGCAGGAAAUGAUAUAAAACAUUUAUCACAUCAGUUUUUGUAACAUCGCAUGACUAGAGUUAUGUUUUCUGUGUAAUCUGUUCAUGUGAUAUUCUAUGUACAACUUCACUUGACAAAUUUGGGUUUAGUAAAAUGGUACAUUGUGGUUUUUUCAAGUCUUUCUCAAUGUGUUUUUCCAAUUCACUUCCUGUGUGUUCAGUGCUGUCAGCUUGAACUUCUGCUUUCUUUUCGGAUUCAGUAUUUGAAGAUAAAGUUAUUACUUGUAAUGUGACACGCCUCGUCAAUGACUCAAUGACUGUAACAAUACAUAAAGUGUUAAAAGUGGAUGUCAUUGCUGUGUCUACUCUUCUUCUACUGCAUUGCAACUAGUGUAUAAAACUGAACUAAACAGCAGCCAACUAGGUAAAGGCCUGUGGUAAAUGAAGUGGAGGUUAGUGAAGCUGCUCCUGUUUUCUGUUUUAAUUUUGGUGAGCAAUAGUUGCAUUCGGAUGAGAUUUUGCUGAGGAAUGAGCCUUUCUCGACCUUGGUUGUAUCAGUAUCCUGCAUACUUGGCUCUGGCUUAUCAUCAUAGCUGAGAGUCUGUUUUCCUGCCAGAGUUUGUCUCUCAGACUAUUUGUGUAAGUGUAGAGUUAUUUUCCAUGCAUCUCUAUACUCUAAUUUCUCUUAUGUGACGGAUCAAAGUAAACAAAUCCUUAUUUAUAACAAUAUAUUACACGGCGUUCAACUGCUCCACCCAUGUUGUAAUGUUUGCAUCAUUGAAUGUUACCUCCUACAUAGGAAUUUCUGUAUUUUUUUGAGUUGCAACCAAAAUAGCAGUAAUACAUUAAACAUCUAUUAAAAAUACAAAAUAUGCCGUUUCUUCUUUGAGAGAUUCGACCUUAUUUGACCGACUUCAAAAUGUCUGUUGACAGCAUAUGAUGGUCUUUAAAACGCAACAGUCCUUCAGUGACUCAUCUUUUUCAUUUCAUGUUUUUUUUUCAUCUGUAGUGACACAAACUGUAGCGUAUUGCAUUUCUGGAACUUGGUGUUCUGUGGAAUUUAUUUCUGUAUUCAUUUGUUGGUGAAAAAAGAAACAUAAGUCAAAUGUUAAACAGAGGACAAACAACAAGACAAUAAUCACAUAUUGCAACAACACCCAUCUACUGGGCUUCUGAUGUAGCUGUUUAAACACCAACUCACAUUAUGAGCUCAACACUUGCAAUUUUAAAGGGUGAAGCUUGACUAUAAAUAUGAGCUCCAAAGACACUGCACUAAUCUCACAAUUUGAGGAAGAUCCUGAACAGGUGGAGAGGAUUCUGGAUGAAUGGGAAAAAGAUUGUCUCAACCAAUCUCCCCAAAUGGAAACUGCCUGUGGAGUAUGCUGGAUGGUGUCAGGAAGACUGAUGUUGGCCCUUUCCACUUCAGGAUUGAAAUGCCACAAUACAAAAGCUUCUUGUACAAAACAAAUGUAGUGUCCCUGGAUGUCAUAC
rnacentral:lncRNA from 1 species